ensembl:lncRNA NECTIN3-AS1 NECTIN3 antisense RNA 1
GAGAUUUAAAAGGGACAGGAAAAUCUGGAAUAGCAUCUUCAACUAAAGAUGUCAAAGCACAAGCUCACUUCCCACGGAAGGUAGCAAUUACUAUUAUCUACUUGACAGCUACAAGAACCUAGGCACAGAGGUUAAGUGCUCUGCAAAUACUACCAGCCAGUGGUGGUUUUCCUGCCAGAACCAAGUUCUUGCCUUCCAGUGGACACCAUUGAUCUCUCAAGAUGAUUCUUUAAGUUAAAAAGAAAUGUGAAAUCUCUUAGGCCAAGAAGAACAACCUGAGGACUCUCUUUCUGGAGGUAAUUGAACUCCUUUAGUAAAUCCAGAGGAGAAAUCUGAGAUCAGUACAUCUUUUGUAUCUAUGAUAGCUAAGGAUACAUCACUUGAAAGAUUCACUGUACUAACUACUUUCUUCAGCAUUUGACUCUUGGUCCUUGUGUUGUGAGCUCCUUGUUCCUGCAAAGCUGGCUGGGGUCACCAUAGUGGGUCAAAAAAAAAUUCAUCAAUGAAAAAGAUAGGGAAUCUCCAAUCUCUAUCCCAAGACAUGUUCUCGAUGACUUGAGCACAUCACACAUCAGCAGAUGCUCAGGAUACAGAAGAGAGAUUUCAUCUACGGGAAAAAGACCCUCUGAAAAGAAGUGUGAAAUCAUCAAAAGAGCCAUUGGAGGGGACACCAGAGAGUCGUGUGGCUGAGGUUUCACAUGAUCCCGCCAUGCUUCCAGUCCAGAGGAGAAAGCUAGACCCACUCCUCAAAAAGUAUAGGCAUCAUAAGAAGGCCACAAGGACAAAAAGAAGGAGGAAGGAGAAAAUGGAGGCCCAGUGCUCCCCUGUUCCUCCAACACCUUCAACACCACCACAAAGUGAAGAAGAUGAGGCUGUAGACAAAAAGCCAACUCUACUCAGUGCCCAGGAAGAUACUCCUGACCUUCUCCAUGAGGACAGAUUACAGUAUCUGCAGGAAGAGGGUUCCGGUGUGAUGCAUCAGGAAUGUCAGAUCCAGUCCUGUGAGCUCUCGGUGGCUCAGAAGCCCAGGCCCUCUUCUCCUGCAGUGACAUCCUUGGCAUCACCACCACUCUGCUUUGGCAGUUUCCUAAGCUGUGUCUGCCAGACCUUCUCAAGGUCUAGGAAGCAGAAGCCUCCCAGAAGAAAGGGUAACAACCAGGCUGAGGCAGGAGAGAGAUGAACCCGGUACCUCAGAUGGAAAUGCAGAAAUCACCGUCUUCUGCGUCGCUCACGCUGGGAGCUGCAGACGGGAGCUGUUCCUAUUCGGCCAUCUUGGCUCCUCCCAUAGGACACCUUUCUAAAGUCAGUCAUGCUUUGAUACUUUUAGUUGUCUAAAAAGUGGUUGAUUUCUCAUUUUAAACAGUAUUGAGUUUUCUUGAGCUAAUUGACCGUGAUAAAUGGGUUUUAUUACAUAAAAUUUCAAAUUAUCCAAACUAUAUCUAUAUUUACAUACAUAUUUUCUCCAUUUAAUACAAGAAGCACACUCCCAGGUAAGGCAUCAUGUAUGAAAGUCCUGAGUCAUCGAGCCUGUUAUUAAAAGCUCACCAGAAUGCAGGUAUUCGUGUUGGUAUUAUACUUUAUUAUUGUUAUUACUUAUCAUAAUAAGUGUUUCAGGUUAGUUUUUCUAUCAUAGAAAAACUAUUAGUGGGAGCCUAGUUAGCCAUAUCUUCAGCCCCAUCUACAAUACUGAUUUUCACAUAAAAGUUAUUUGCUAC